CCUGCAGCCCCUACCUAAGCUUGUGACGGCUGCAUUGAUCGGCAAAAAUGGAAUCUGCAGCUAGCUGCCAAAACCAACAUUAUGGGCUUUUCCAGUGCACUCUCAUCAUAAGUGAAAGCUGAACUGGUUGAAUGCCCAGCUUGACUUCCAGUCUUUAUGCCCACUGGGAAUAGCAGGCAGGAGAGUGGAAGACAAGAAACGCAUAUCUUUGUGCUCACAUUCUCUGCACUUUAAAUAGAGGGACAAGAGCAUACUUCAACGUAGUUGUUCAGGCUGAGCUCUCCUUGAUGCACAUCUAACUCUAUAAUGAAGAUUCUGCCGGUGCCUAGGACGGCUCCCUGCAAUGCAGUAUCAGACACAUGCAUUAAGAAAGGAAACAAGACAGAAAACUGGACACUGUAGUAAAAAGCCACCAAUGAAGCAUCAGAAAUACAGAAGUAUCAAGUAGGACCUGCUAGCAUGAACUCUGCAAAAAGGAAGUAGGAAGAAUGUUUUUAUUUCUAGUGAACAGAAAGGGGAAUUUAUUUUACCUAAUAAAAACAAUGAUGUGACAAUAUGAAUAUAAGCACUGUAUAAGGAACACACCCAGUCUACAAAGAAAAAGAAAAUUCCACUAGUGGGGGAAGAAAGAAGAAUGUAUCUAUAUACACCAGCAUCAGAUUCUUCAUUAUCUACAAUGGGUCAGAAACAAAAAGAGGGUCAUCUGUGCUCCCUAUGAAAUCACAGGUCAAAUUUAACCUGUUGUGAUGCUAAUUUGGGAUAAGGACUAGAUUGACGACUGGAGACGCCCUCUUAACACGCUUGGCUUGUUACUUUGCCUGAUGGGAUAAGGGAGCUAAGGGAAAGACUUUCUUUCCCAUGGUUAUAAAUAUUCAGUGUACUGCUUGUGUUACAGGGGAACAGGGGCAUGGU